rnacentral:rRNA from 1 species
UACGUAGGGUGCAAGCGUUGUCCGGAAUUAUUGGACGUAAAGAGCUCGUAGGCGGUUUGUCGCGUCUGCUGUGAAAACUCGGGGCUUAACCCCGGGCCUGCAGUGGGUACGGGCAGACUAGAGUGCGGUAGGGGAGACUGGAAUUCCUGGUGUAGCGGUGAAAUGCGCAGAUAUCAGGAGGAACACCGGUGGCGAAGGCGGGUCUCUGGGCCGUAACUGACGCUGAGGAGCGAAAGCGUGGGGAGCGAACAGG